UCUAUUUAAAAUAUAAUGAAAACAGAGCUCAGUACAACAUAUUUGUAAAACCUAGACUUCAUCUCCAAACUAGCGUUUAAUAUAUUUAAGAUUCGUGUGCCUUGAUUUUUGAUGAAGUGAUGCAAACUCCAACAUUAAAUCUACACACACAAAAAGUUGCAUCUACCAAAUUUUUCUAUUUUUCUUGAUAAACAAGUUGCGUCCAUAUCUCCCUUUCCACAAUCAGCAUCACCUCUUUCCUCGAACACCUACUCUAGUGUCAGCGACUUACACGCAGCGCCAAGGUAAUUACCUUCACUUUUACGAGGAAAGAGAGCGAGAGAAAGAGAGAUUGUAGAUCUGCAGCACAACACGAGAUUCAAGCAUAUCUGCAGGCGGAGAAGCUAGGUGACGCGACGGCACAGCACAACACCAUACUCGGACGAGAAGUUUCCGUAGGAAUCGGAGGAAACCGUCACCGACUCAGUCUCCGACAGCUUCUGCAGCGUGGAGACGACGAGGUUGGGGCGGCGGUGCUUCGCCGGCGAUCUGAGCUCGAAGGAUGCGGAGUGGAAGAGAGCGGUACACCAGUCCGUCACCGGAGGAGAGAAAGUAGGAGGGAGGGUGAGAGAGAGAGCGUAGAGAGAGAAGGCUAGAGAGAGACAUAUUUAGUGUAGCUAAUUUUUUUAAUUUUAAGGGUAGGGUAUUUUUGACUUUUUACUCAAAAACUGGCCAUUUUUUAAUAUUUUUAUCUCAUAGGCUAGAUUUUAAUUUUACAAUAUGAAAGUGGAC
rnacentral:lncRNA from 1 species